UUUAAUUGAAGAGUUUGAUCAUGGCUCAGAUUGAACGCUGGCGGCAGGCCUAACACAUGCAAGUCGAGCGGCAGCGGAAAGUAGCUUGCUACUUUGCCGGCGAGCGGCGGACGGGUGAGUAAUGUCUGGGGAUCUGCCUGAUGGAGGG
rnacentral:rRNA from 1 species